CUGUAUCGUCCCCCCAGAUCUUUGAAUUGAAUGAUGAGAGAAGAGAACGGAAGUCUGUGAGAGUCAGACGCGGUCGCGCCGCUGUAACCGGUAUAACCCGGAAGCCAGAAGACGUUACUUUUCUUGCUCGUCCUGA
rnacentral:sRNA from 13 species